rnacentral:piRNA from 1 species
CGAAGGGUUUGCGGUGAUAAAGG